AGAGUUUGAUCAUGGCUCAGGAUGAAUGCUGGCGGCGUGUCUAAGGCAUGCAAGUCGAGCGGGCACCACUGCGAUUACAUCAAGAUGGUGUCAGCGGCAAACGGGAGCGUAACACAUUGGUAACUUCCCCUGCACUCGUGAAUAACCCUUCGAAAGGAGGGCUAAUACACGAUAUUGUCCCGUGGUGAAACUCCACGUGAUGAAAGUUACGGCGGUGCAGGAUAGGCCUAUGUCCCAUCAGCUAGUUGGCGGUGUAAUGGACCACCAAGGCUAUGACGGGUACCAGGCGUGAGAGCGUGGCCUGGCUCACUGGGACUGAGACACUGCCCAGACACCUACGGGUGGCUGCAGUCGAGAAUAUUCCGCAAUGCACGAAAGUGUGACGGAGCGACGCCGCGUGCCGAAAGAAGGCCUUCGGGUUGUAAACGGCUUUUAUGAGGGACGAAUUUGACGGUACCUCAGAAUAAGGG
rnacentral:rRNA from 1 species